GGCUACACACGUGCUACAAUGGGUAGAACAGAGAGUUGCAAAGCCGUGAGGUGGAGCUAAUCUCAGAAAACUAUUCUUAGUUCGGAUUGUACUCUGCAACUCGAGUACAUGAAGUUGGAAUCGCUAGUAAUCGCGAAUCAGCAAUGUCGCGGUGAAUACGUUCUCGGGUCUUGUACACACCGCCCGUCACACCACGAGAGCUGGUUGCACCUGAAGUAGCAGGCCUAACCGUAAGGAGGGAUGCUCCGAGGGUGUGAUUAGCGAUUGGGGUGAAGUCGUAACAAGGUAUCCGUACGGGAACGU
rnacentral:rRNA from 1 species